CCCCAGACUCCUACGGGAGGCAGCAGUGAGGAAUAUUGGUCAAUGGCCGGAAGGCUGAACCAGCCAUGCCGCGUGAAGGUCAGUGCCCUAAGGGCGUUAAACUUCUUUUGUGCGGGAGCAAUAAUGGUCACGUGUGGCCAGACGAGAGUACCGUACGAAUAAGCAUCGGCUAACUCCGUGCCAGCAGCCGCGGUAAUACGGGGGAUGCAAGCGUUAUCCGGAUUUAUUGGGUUUAAAGGGUGCGUAGGCGGUCCGGAAAGUCUGGGGGAAAAGCCCGGGGCACAACCCCGGCGAGCCGUUGAAACUGUCGGACUAGAGACGGCGAGAAGUACGCGGAAUGCGCGGUGUAGCGGUGAAAUGCAUAGAUAUCGCGCAGAACUCCGAUUGCGAAGGCAGCGUACCGGCGCCGGACUGACGCUGAGGCACGAAAGCGUGGGUAUCGAACAGGAUUAGAUACCCGGGUAC
rnacentral:rRNA from 1 species